UAAGCCACUAAUGUCGUGGAGAAGGUUAGACCUCAUAAAGUCAGCGAAGCUAAGGUUUCGUAUGUGUUAUAUCCUUUCGAUCGAGCGAGAACUUAUAAGGAAGGCCUUCAUUGCCCUUUGACAAAAGUAAAAAAAAAAAGAGCGCUAGGGAAGAGAGAAAGUAGCAGAAGUGCUUCUAGAUCUCAUGGAAUAAGGCAGAAUUUCUAACAAAACUUUCCACCUCUUGCUUUCAUAGAAAAAAGAAUUUAGGAGAUGAAAUCCCGAUUACAUUACUGCAGGCCAAAAUUUUAUUUGAAAGA
rnacentral:lncRNA from 1 species